rnacentral:rRNA from 1 species
GGUGUAGCGGUGAAAUGCGCAGAUAUCAGGAAGAACACCGAUGGCGAAGGCAGGUCUCUGGGCCAUUACUGACACUGAGAAGCGAAAGCAUGGGUAGCGAACAGGAUUAGAUACCCUGGUAGUCCAUGCCGUAAACGUUGGGCACUAGGUGUGGGGGACAUUCCACGUUCUCCGCGCCGUAGCUAACGCAUUAAGUGCCCCGCCUGGGGAGUACGGCCGCAAGGCUAAAACUCAAAGGAAUUGACGGGGGCCCGCACAAGCGGCGGAGCAUGCUGAUUAAUUCGAUGCAACGCGAAGAACCUUACCAAGGCUUGACAUGCACUGGACGGCUGCAGAGAUGUGGCUUUCUUUGGACUGGUGCACAGGUGGUGCAUGGUUGUCGUCAGCUCGUGUCGUGAGAUGUUGGGUUAAGUCCCGCAACGAGCGCAACCCUCGUUCUAUGUUGCCAGCACGUGAUGGUGGGGACUCAUAGGAGACUGCCGGGGUCAACUCGGAGGAAGGUGGGGACGACGUCAAAUCAUCAUGCCCCUUAUGUCUUGGGCUUCAAGCAUGCUACAAUGGUCGGUACAAUGGGUUGCGAAACUGUGAGGUGGAGCGAAUCCCAAAAAGCCGGCCUCAGUUCGGAUUGGGGUCUGCAACUCGACCCCAUGAAGUCGGAGUCGCUAGUAAUCGCAGAUCAGCAACGCUGCGGUGAAUACGUUCCCGGGCCUUGUACACACCGCCCGUCAAGUCACGAAAGUCGGUAACACCCGAAGCCAGUGGCCCAUCCUCGUGAGGGAGCUGUCUAAGG